GCAGGCGCGAGCGAGUCUGCCCGUCCGAAUCGGUUGCGGCCGCGGGUCCCCGACCCGGGGCCGGGAAAGGUCCCCGAGGCUUCGACCAGCGUCCCCGCCGCCCACGUCCCGAGGAGGAGGCACCCCGCCCCCGUGCUCAGGUUCCGAGGGCCGUCGUGUCCCCCUGGUUCUGAGAACCAUCGAGUCCCCUUAGGUUCCGAGGGCCGUCCUGUCCCCCUGGUUCCGAGAACCGUCGUUUUCCCCUAGGUUCCGAAGGCCGUCGUGUCCCCCCAGGUUCCGAGGGCCGUCGUGUUCCCCUGGUUCCGAAGGCCGUCGUGUCCCCCCAGGUUCCGAGGGCCGUCGUGUCCCCCUGGUUCCGAGAACCGUCGUUUUCCCCUAGGUUCCGAAGGCCGUCGUGUCCCCCCAGGUUCCGAGGGCCGUCAUGUCCCCCCGGUUCUGAAGAGAAUCGUAUCCCGUGAGGCUUUGAGGGGGUCGUGUCCCCUCAGGUUUCGAGAAUUGUGUCCCGUCGGGCUCUGAGGAGGACGUGUCCCCUCAGGUUCCGAGGAGAAUCGUGUCCUGUCAGGUUCUGAGGGGUUCGUGUUCCCUCAGGUUCUGAGGAGAGUCCUGUCUUCUCAGGUUCCAAGGGGGGUACUGUCCCCCCAAGUUCCGAGGAUAGUCGUGUCCCCUCAGGUUCCAAGGGGAGUUGUACACCCUCAGGUACCAAGGAGAAUCCUGUCCCCUCAGGUACCGAGGGCAGUCGUGUCCUCUCGGGUUUGGAGGGGGGUUGUGUCCCCUCAGGUUCUGAGGAGAGUCCUGCCCCCUCAAGUUCGGAGAUUUGUGUCCCCCCAAGUUCCAAGGGGACUUGUGUCCCUUCAAGUACUAAGGGGAGUUGUGCUCCCUCGGGUUCAGAGGGGGGUUGUGUCCCCUCAUGUUCUGAGGAGAAUCCUUUCCCCUCAGGUUCCAGGGAGGUUUGUGUCCCCCCAGGUUCUGAGGAGAGUUGUGUCCCCUCAGAUUCCAAAGGCAGUCGUGUUCCCUCAGGUUCCGAGGGGAAUCGUAUCCCCCAGGUUCAGAGGAAGAUCGUGACCCCUCAGCUUCCGUGGGGGUUGUGUCCCCCCAGGUUCUGAGGGGGGUUGUGUUCCCCCAGGUUCUGAGGGGGAUUGUGUCCCCCCAGGUUCCGAGGGCAGUCGUGCCCCCCAGGUUUCAAGGGGGGUCAUAUCCCCUAGGUUCUGAGGGGAGUUGUGCCCCCCAAGUUCUGAGGGGGAUCACGACCCCUCAGGUUCCGAGGCGGUUGUGUCCCUCCCAGGUUCCGAGGGCAGUCGUGGCCCCCAGGUUCCUAGGGCAGUCGUGCCCCCCAGGUUCCGAGGGCAGUCGUGUACCCCAGGUUCUGAGGGGAGUUGUGCCCCCCAGGUUCUGAGGGGAUUCGUACCCCCCAGGUUCUGAGAGGCCUUGUGUUUCCCCAUGUUCUGAGGGGGAUUGUGUCCUCCCAAGUUCUGAGAGAGUUGUGUUCCCCUAGGUUCCAAAGGGGAGUCAUGUCCCCUCCCCCCAUGUCUGCAGGUCAGCUCCCACCCUAGUCACCUCUCAGCCUCUUGAAGGGAAGGGAAGUGGGAGGCUCUACAGAUGAAGAAGGCGGGACCCAGUCCUUCUGAUCAAGGAGGCGGGACCGAGUCCUGCCUGGCCCUGCACCCAUCUCCUUCCCAGGCCCCCAUUCUCUCCCUGCCUUCUGCCUGGCCCCCCUUACCCGACCUAGUAGUCAACUUCAGGUGUGAUGCUGGGAGCCCAGAGUUUUGUGAGCUGCUGCACAAAGGUCAGUGACUUACCAGCCUGGGAGAACACAAAGGACCAGGGUGGGGGCUACCAAGCGGUGCUCAAGAGUUCUGGGAACCCCAUCAGCAAUUCUUGGCCAGUUGGGCUCUUGGUUCUGCCCAAGGGCUCAAGGGUGCAGUGCUGCUCUUGCCCUGUGGUGCUAGUGAUCCCCAUGCCAGCCUGGCUGUGUCAGAGAACUCAGAACCACACCUGGCGGAGCUCGGGGGCCUUCAAGACUGCACCUGGCAGUUCUGGGGGGACAAUAUGUUACAAGGACUCAAACUGGUUGGAAGCAUGCCAGGGGAAUGACUUUUGUCCCGGAUGCACCAGGGCGACACAGCCACUACAGUAUGGUGAAAAAGUGGUGCCCAAACAGAGACCCUGAAGGUGAAAGGACUGCGUUUGGUGGACCACCACAUAAGAGGGUCUUCCCGCAGUAUUAUUUUGCUAAAGGCCAGGUCACAUGUAUGGCUGCCAGUAAGCCUGACCAGAGAGUGGCAGCCUUCUUCAGCUGAAGGACUUGUGAAAGAAGUUGUGACAUGCCUGCUCUGGCACUCCUGGAGAUUCAUCAGACUCCUCAGUUGCUCUUUUGGGACUCAUUGCCGUCAUCACUACUGCUGCUGUGGAGGGCACAGCUCUUUAAACCUCGGUCCAGAUGCUUGAUUUUAUCAAAACAUGGCAAAAUGACUCUCACCAUCUCUGGACAGUGCAGGCCAUGGAUCCUGCCUCCUGUGGAGAAGACUAGCCUAUACAGAGAGCACGAUCUGUCAAGCUUAUUUCAAUUUUUGGCAUUUUGCAAACAGAAAAGAGGGAGAUGUUGGAAUUCCUGCUCGCACAGCUCCCGAACUGCCUGGCAUCCUAUUGAAUAAUCCUCCGGAAAUUCUCCUCAGGGCGACUCCUCCAGAGAUGGGGAAGGACUACACCAAAAGGGGUGCUGUCUCCCCAUAAUUCUUAAUUGCUGUAGUUAACAGAAUUUGCUGAGUCAUUGCCCCUUCUUAGUUAUGAGCAGCUUAGGCUUGACUCUGGGUUGUCCUUUCUCCCUUGCAGAGAGCUUAUGUUAAUGUAAUCACCUGUCACCCUUGCAUCCAUUGUUACCCACUGUAGUGCCCCUGAGCAACUCCCAAUUCCCAGGUGCUUAUGUUUAACUUCUCCUUUGUGCCUUACUUUCCCCUUCCUGUUUAUUUAUUUAAUUUAUUGCAUUGUUUCCCAUUCUAUCCCUGUCCCCUCACCCUGCAUGUUGCAGUUUCUCUUUCCCUAUAUUAACACUGUAUGAUCUCAAUUAAAUUGUCACUGGCCAUCA